rnacentral:rRNA from 1 species
UAGGGAAGUCUUCCACAAUGGGCGAAAGCCUGAUGGAGCAACGCCGCGUGUGUGAUGAAGGGUUUCGGCUCGUAAAACACUGUUGUAAGAGAAGAAUGACAUUGAGAGUAACUGUUCAAUGUGUGACGGUAUCUUACCAGAAAGGAACGGCUAAAUACGUGCCAC